rnacentral:rRNA from 1 species
GGAUGAACGCUGGCGGCGUGCCUAAUACAUGCAAGUCGAGCGAACAGACGAGGAGCUUGCUCCUCUGACGUUAGCGGCGGACGGGUGAGUAACACGUGGAUAACCUACCUAUAAGACUGGGAUAACUUCGGGAAACCGGAGCUAAUACCGGAUAAUAUAUUGAACCGCACGGUUCAAUAGUGAAAGACGGUUUUGCUGUCACUUAUAGAUGGAUCCGCGCCGCAUUAGCUAGUUGGUAAGGUAACGGCUUACCAAGGCAACGAUGCGUAGCCGACCUGAGAGGGUGAUCGGCCACACUGGAACUGAGACACGGUCCAGACUCCUACGGGAGGCAGCAGUAGGGAAUCUUCCGCAAUGGGCGAAAGCCUGACGGAGCAACGCCGCGUGAGUGAUGAAGGUCUUCGGAUCGUAAAACUCUGUUAUUAGGGAAGAACAAAUGUGUAAGUAACUAUGCACGUCUUGACGGUACCUAAUCAGAAAGCCACGGCUAACUACGUG